UUCUUCUUUGCUAACUUAGAUCAGAGUUUUGUAGUUUUUCUCAUACAGAUCUUGUAUAUAUUGUGUUAGAUUUAUACCUAAGUAUUUCAUUUUUAGG